rnacentral:rRNA from 1 species
AACCUACCUUUCAGAGGGGGACAACAGUUGGAAACGACUGCUAAUACCGCAUGAGACCACAGCGCGGCAUCGUGCAGUGAUCAAAGGAGCAAUUCGCUGAAAGAUGGCCUCGCGUCCGAUUAGCUAGUUGGUGAGGUAACGGCCCACCAAGGCCACGAUCGGUAGCCGGACUGAGAGGUCGAUCGGCCACAUUGGGACUGAGACACGGCCCAGACUCCUACGGGAGGCAGCAGUGGGGGAUAUUGCACAAUGGAGGAAACUCUGAUGCAGCGACGCCGCGUGAGGGAAGAAGGUCUUCGGAUUGUAAACCUCUGUCUUCGGGGACGAAACAAAUGACGGUACUCGAGGAGGAAGCCACGGCUAACUACGUGCCAGCAGCCGCGGUAAUACGUAGGUGGCAAGCGUUGUCCGGAAUUACUGGGUGUAAAGGGAGCGCAGGCGGAGCUGCAAGUUGGGUGUUAAAUCUACGGGCUUAACUCGUAGUUGCAUUCAAAACUGUGGCUCUUGAGUAGUGCAGAGGUAGGCGGAAUUCCCGGUGUAGCGGUGGAAUGCGUAGAUAUCGGGAGGAACACCAGUGGCGAAGGCGGCCUACUGGGCACCAACUGACGCUGAGGCUCGAAAGUAUGGGUAGCAAACAGGAUUAGAUACCCUGGUAGUCCAUACCGUAAACGAUGAUUACUAGGUGUGGGGAGAUUGACCCUCUCCGUGCCGCAGUUAACACAAUAAGUAAUCCACCUGGGGAGUACGACCGCAAGGUUGAAACUCAAACGAAUUGACGGA